rnacentral:tRNA from 1 species
GGAGAGGUGGCCGAGUGGCUGAAGGCAACGGUUUGCUAAACCGUCAUACGCCCUAAAGGUGUAUCGAGGGUUCGAAUCCCUCCCUCUCCG